UUAAGCUAAGAAGAGCGUAGGGAGAAUGCCUUGGCAUUAGGAGCCGAUGAAGGACGUGAUAAGCUGCGAUAAGCUGCGGGGAUCAGCAAGUAUGAAUUGAUCCGCAGAUUUCCGAAUGGAGCAAUCCGUAUGUGUAUGCACAUACAUCAUAUACUGAAUCAAAUAGGUAUAUGAGGGGAACCGCCUGAACUGAAACAUCUAAGUAGGGCGAGGAAGAGAAAUCAACCGAGAUUCUGUGAGUAGUGGCGAGCGAAAGCGGAAGAGGCUAAACCAUAGGUAGCAAUACUUAUGGGGUUUCGGACAGCAUUUAGCAUUGAUAAUUUCUAGUUGAAACGUGUGGGAAAACGUACCGAGGAGUGUGAGAGUCACGUAAGCGAAAGAGAAAGUCAGCGAGCUGUAUCCAAAGUACCGCGGGACACGUGAAACCCCGUGGGAAGAUGGGGGGACCAUCCUCCAAGCCUAAAUACUACCUAAUGACCGAUAGCGAAUAGUACUGUGAAGGAACGGUGAAAAGAACCCCGGGAGGGGAGUGAAAAAGAACCUGAAACCCUAUGCUUACAAGCACCGAGAGCACGUCAAAGUGUGAUCGGGUACCUUUUGUAGAAUGGUCCGGCGAGUUAUUGUAUGCGGCAAGGUUAAGUGCUUAAGGCACGGAGCCGAAGCGAGAGCAAGUCUGAAUAGGGCGAAAGAGUCGUAUGCAAUAGACCCGAAACCGAGUGACCUAUCCAUGUCCAGGCUGAAGUGGAGGUAAAACUCCAUGGAGGGCCGAACACACGUCCGUUGAAAAGGCCGGUGAUGAGGUGUGGAUAGCGGAGAAAUUCCAAUCGAACUCGGAUAUAGCUGGUUCUCUCCGAAAUAGCUUUAGGGCUAGCCUCGUGAAAGAUUACUGGAGGUAAAGCACUGAAUGGGCUAGGGGUCGAAAGAUUACUGAACCCUAUCAAACUAAGAAUGCCAGAUAAUUGAUUCACGGGAGUCAGACAAUGUGAGAUAAGUCUCAUUGUCAAAAGGGAAACAGCCCAGACCCACAGCUAAGGUCCCUAAACAUUGUUAAGUGGAAAAGGAUGUGGGGUUGCAUAAACAACCAGGAUGUUGGCUUAGAAGCAGCCACUCAUUAAAAGAGUGCGUAAUAGCUCACUGGUCGAGUGACCCUGCGCCGAAAAUUCAACGGGGCUAAACAAUGUACCGAAGCUUGGGAUUCUAAAGUAAUUUAGAGUGGUAGGAGAGCGUCGAAUAAGGGGUGAAGUCAGAGCGGAAGCGCUGGUGGACUUUAUUCGAGUGAGAAUGCCGGAAUGAGUAGCGAGAAUUAUGUGAGAAUCAUAAUGGCCGAAAAUCUAAGGUUUCCUGAGGAAGGUUCGUCCGCUCAGGGUAAGCCGGGGGCUAAGGCGAGGCGGAGACGCGUAGCCGAUGCACAUACGGUUGAAAUUCCGUAGCCACCGAAAGAUUUAAGUACAGGGACGCUUUAGAAGUGAUGUAGCCGGGCGAUGGUUGACCCGGUCGUAAGGGAUCGAAAAUGAGUAGAGAAGUCAUCAUGGAAAGAGACAAGAAAAGCUGUAUGAAUAUCUUAGGUGCCCGUACCGCAAACCGACACAGGUAGAUAGGAAGAAGAUUCUAAGGCCAACGGGAGAAGGGUUGUUAAGGAACUCGGCAAGUUGACCCCGUAACUUAGGGAUAAGGGGUGCUCAAGUGAUUGAGCCGCAGAGAAUAGGCCCAGGCGACUGUUUAGCAAAAACACAGGUCUCUGCUAAAUCGAAAGAUGACGUAUAGGGGCUGACACCUGCCCGGUGCCGGAAGGUUAAGAGGAGAUGUGAGAGCAUUGAAUUGAAGCCCCGGUAAACGGCGGCCGUAACUAUAACGGUCCUAAGGUAGCGAAAUUCCUUGUCAGGUAAGUUCUGACCCGCACGAAAGGUGUAACGAUCUGGGCACUGUCUCAACAACCCGCCCGGCGAAAUUGUAGUACCGGUGAAGAUGCCGGUUACCCGCGACUAGACGGAAAGACCCCAUGGAGCUUUACUGUAGCCUAAUAUUGGAUUUCGGUAUUUCACGUACAGGAUAGGUGGGAGACUGGGAAGCACAGGCGUCAGCUUGUGUGGAGUCGACCUUGGGAUACCACUCUUGGAGUGCUGGAAUUCUAACCUGCGGCUUUGAAGCAAGUCGGGGGACAUUGUUAGGUGGGCAGUUUGACUGGGGCGGUCGCCUCCUAAAGAGUA
rnacentral:rRNA from 1 species